UGUUUUGUAGCUUAGUUGGUUAAAGCGCCCGGACUAGCGAUAACGGAGUCGUGGGUUCGAAUCCCACCAAAACAA
rnacentral:tRNA from 1 species